rnacentral:rRNA from 1 species
UAGAUUUUAUUUAUUAUUUUAUAUUUUUUAUUAAUUUUUAAUAUUAAAAAUAUUUAUAAUAAUAGUUUUAUUAGUAUAAAAUAGAAAUUAUAAUUAAAAUUAUAGUGAAUUAGUAUUGUAUAAGAAAGUUGAAAUAGUUUGAAAAAUUAUUAUUUUUAAAGAAAAUUUAAUUUAUUGUAUCUUGUGUAUCAGAGUUUAUUUAAUAAUUAUUAUUAAAAAUAAUUUUCUCGAUUUUAAAAGAGUUAAUAUAUUAUUUAAGUUAAUGUAUUAUAUUUAUUUAUAAUAAUAUAUUAGAAAUGAAAUGUUAUUCGUUUUUAAAGGUAUCUAGUUUUUUAAGAAAUAAAUUUAAUUUACAAAGUUUAAAUUAUUUAUUUUUUAUAUAAUAAAUAAUUUUUUAUUUUGAAUAUUUUAUGGGAUAAGCUAUAAAAUAUAUUUUUAUAAAAAUUUUAAUUAAUUAUGAAAUAUAGGCUUAGAAAUAGUCAUUAUUAAUAAAAUUGUUAUAAUUUAUUAAUUGUAUUAUAAUUAAUUUAUUUCUUAAAUUUUAAUUUUUUAUUAAAAUAAAAUUUUUAAUUUUAUAAAGUUUGAAAUAAUGAUAAAAUUAGUAUAAUUAUAUAUAUAUAUAUAUAUAUAUUGUUAAGUUUAUAUAAAGAAUUCGGCAAAUAUAAUGUUCGCCUGUUUAACAAAAACAUGUCUUUUUGAGAUUAAUUUAAAGUCUAACCUGCCCACUGAUUUUUAAAUGGCCGCAGUAUAUUGACUGUGCAAAGGUAGCAUAAUCAUUAGUCUUUUAAUUGAAGGCUGGAAUGAAUGGUUGGACGAAACAUUAACUGUUUUAUGUAAAUUUAAAAUAGAAUUUUAUUUUUUAGUAAAAAAGCUAAAAUAAAUUUAAAAGACGAGAAGACCCUAUAAAUCUUUAUAUAAAUUAUAUAUAAUAAUUAUAGAAAUUUAAUUUUAUAAAUAUAUAAUAAAAUAUUUUAUUGGGGUGAUAGUAAAAUUUGAUUAACUUUUAUUAAUUUUUAUUCAUUAAUUAAUGAAUUUUUGAUCCUAUAUUAUAGAUUAAAAGAAUAAGUUACUUUAGGGAUAACAGCGUAAUUUUUUUGGAGAGUUCAUAUCGAUAAAGAAGAUUGCGACCUCGAUGUUGGAUUAAGAUUAAAUUUAGGUGCAGAAGUUUAAAUUUUAAGUCUGUUCGACUUUUAAAAUCUUACAUGAUCUGAGUUCAAACCGGUGUAAGCCAGGUUGGUUUCUAUCUUUAAAUAAUUUUAAUAUUAUAGUACGAAAGGAUUUAAUAUUAAAUAUAUUAAUAUUUAUAAUAAUGAAUUAAAUU